CUCAAUCAUAAGCUGAAACAAUUUUUACUUCUCCGUCUCAAAUUGAAUCCCAACUAAUGUAAACGGUGAUCAGACAUUCACAAGUAUUAAGUCUAGAAUGAGAUACUCAACAAUUGAACAAAUACCAAUUAAUUCAAUUAAAGAAGGAUUCACAUAAUCAUAAUUAGGCUACAUCACAAACUCUAGAAGAUAGAAAUUAGUUCAUGCUGAAAUUGAAGAAAAACUUUAUAGAAGAGUUUAACAUAAACAUCAAGAAAGUGAAAGAGAAUGGAAGAAGGAAUAAGCUCAGUAAAUCUGGUUUGCAGUUUGCUUGGUGUAGAUUCCUCCUUUUGAUAGCCAAAAAAAGAAGAGAAAGAAUUGAUCCUCCUUGCUUUCCAGCCUCCUUGGAUGAAAAAUCCCCUCUUUCCUCCACCAUAAACUCAUUAUCCUUGCUCUCUAUCAAACAAUCUUCACAAGGAAAGAAGAAAUCAAUCCCAAAUUCACCUCAUCAAGUCAAUAUAUUUUCAACCUUGGAUUUUGAGCCAUUUUUCACUUGGAAAACGUGGGACUUUCAAAAUCUAUACUUUAGGAGAAAUUGUAGCACGUUAAAUAGCUUUCCAAGGCCUCUUGAAUCAGAUCAAUAUGACGUCGGAUGAGGGAGAUAUGAUGAAAAUAUUAAAGACAGUGCAGAUAGCUUCCAACUUAGGAUUUCUUCACGGUCCAGAGACGUAUUCCACUGAUUUGCUCCCUUCAUUAAUCAUUCCAAUCUAUUUUCUUUUGAUUGGGUGGGUCAAGC
rnacentral:lncRNA from 1 species